UUUAUACUCCCUCUGUUUGAAAUUACUUGUCGCAGAAAUGGAUGUAUCUAGACGUAUUUCAGUUCUAGAUACAUCCAUUUCCGAGACAAGUAAUUCCGAACGGAGGGAGUAUUAU
rnacentral:pre_miRNA from 1 species